rnacentral:lncRNA from 1 species
ACUUUUAUUUUAAAUAUGAAUGUGUAUACAACUUCAGGAAAACCUUUAGAAUACAACUGAUAAACCAAUGGAAAUACAACUCCUUCAAAAUCCACAGGGUAUAAGAAGAGUCAUCAAAAUUUCUUAAACCACUAUUUGAUGUGAAGUAAUGGUGUUAAGUUUAAGUCAUCAAUAUCAAGAGAGGGAAUAACCAAACAGUAUACAAACAAGUCUUCAUUAGCAUAUGAAAGUGGCUCAACUUCAUUAGCAAUCAUUAAAAUGUGAAAUAAAACCAUAAUAAGACAUGUCUAUUUAAAUCUUCUAAUGAUUUUUUGACUAACUUAUUUUGUUUGUUUUAUAUUCAUAAAGCUGCAUGCGAUGUUUGUAUAUUUUGGAGAGUAAACCCUUGAAGGUUACGAGGUUUGCAAAUACUAGCACAUAAAAACAUGUUCAACAUCACUAAUUAUUAGAGAAAUGCAUAUCGAAACCACCAUGAGGUAUCAACUCACACCAGUCAGAAUGGCCAUCAUCAAAAAGUCUAGAAAAGAUAGAGUAUGGAGAAAAGGAAAUUCUCCCACACUGUUGGCGCUAAUGUAAGGUAGUACAGCCACUUUGCUGAACAGUAUGAAGACUGUUUACAAAACUAAAUAUAGAGCUACCAUUUGAUCCAACAAUCCCACUCCGGGGCACCUAUCUGGAGAAAACAAUAAUUCAAAAAGAUACAUGAGCCUCAGUGUUUACUGCAGCACUACCUACAAUAGCCAAGACAUGGAACCAACCUAAAUGUCUAUGGCCAGGAAAAGAUUAAGAAUAAGUGGUACAUAUAUACAAUGGAAUAUUAUUCAGCCAUAAAGAAGAAUGAAAUAAUGCCAUUUACAGCAACAUGGAUGAUGGACCCAGAGAUUAUCAAACUAAGUGAUAUAAGUCAAAGACAAAUAUCAUAUGAGAUCACUAAUAUGUAGAAUCUAAUACAAAUUACACAAAAGAACUAAUUUGUGAAACAGAAACAUACUCAAAGAUUUCAAAACCAAACUUGUGGUUACCAGAGAAAACAUUUGAGGGAGGGUCAAAUUAGGAAGAAGUUGGGAUUAAUACACAUAAAAUAGAUAAUUAACAAGACCUAUUGAAUAGCACAGGGAACUUAAUCUCUGUAAUAACCUAUAUGGGAAAAGCAUCUUUUUUUUGGGGGGGGGGGUAUCUUUUUAGGGCCAUACUCAUGGCAUAUGAAAGUUCCUAGGCUAGGAGUCAAAUUGGAGCUGCAGCUGCCAGCCUAUGCCACAGCCACAGCAAUGCCAGAUCUGAGCUGUGCCUGGGACCUACACCACAGCUCAUGGCAACACCGGAUCCUUUAACCCACUGAGCAAGGUCAGGGAUCAAAUUCCCAUCCUCACAGAUACUUGUCAGAUUCUUAACCCACUAAGCCACAACAGGAACUCCAAAAAGCAUCUAAAAAGGAAUGGAUAUAUGUACAUGUAUAAUUGAUUCACUUUGCUGUACACCUGAAAUUAAUUCAAUACAGUGAGUCAACUAUACUUCAAUAAAAUUAAAAAUAAAUAAAGAUUAAAAUAAAAAACACAAUGAGAAACCAAUGCACAUCCAAUAGAAUGUCCUAAAUGAAAAAGACUGACCUACAAUUGGCAAGUAUUUGAAAGAAGCAAUGCUUUCAUAUAUGGACCUGAGCAUAUAAAUGGAUACAACUAGAUUUAGAAAACUUUAUAAAUAUCAACAAAAGCUGAAAAUAUAUCUAUUCUAUGAACCAUCAAACCCAUUCCUAUGUAUAUGCUAACAGCAAUAUAUAUUCCUAAAAGAUAUAUGCAAUGCUGUUCACAGAAGCAGUACUCAUGAUAAUGUCUCACAUUAAACCACCCUUUAGCAGUAGAAACCAUUUCUAAAAGUGUGAUCUAUUCACACAAUGGAAAAAUAUUCAGCAAUGAAAAUGAAUAUAAAUACUUGCAGCAUUAGGGAUAUGCCUCACAAUUAUAACAGCAGACAACAGAUGCUACCCUGAAAAUAUAGUGUAUAAUUACAGUUAUAUAAAUUUCUAACACAGACAAACAAAUCUAUAUAAAUUUCUAACACAGACAAACAAAUCUAAGUUGGGAGAAUGGAUAUCCAUGGGUAGGACAGGGUGCAAAGUGGCCACUGAGACGCUGGUAAGGUUCUGCUUCUUAAUAUGUUUGCUGGUUAUGUGGGUGAGUUGUUUGUGAAAUGUCAUCAUGUUUUAUAUUUAUGCUUCAUGAAUUUUUCUGUAUCUAAUAAAUAGCCCAAAUUUUAAUUUAGUGGUAAAAUAUAUAAAUAUAAGCAAAUUUUUUCUUCUACUAGCUCACCUUACUCAAACUCUCAGAAGUGAUUUGCUUAAGUGAAUCAAUUCUUCCUUCCCAAACGAAAAUCCUCUCUGGACUUCUAGGGUACUAUUAGCUCCUGGUUUUCCUCUCACUUCUCUUAUUAUUUUAAGUAUCUUUUGUUGGGUCACCUUCCGUUAUUAAACUUUUAAAUAUUUAAGUCUCUCCACACUGACUCCCAUGUAACACAUCAAAUUCCUAUGAAUUUAAGAACCAUCCUUAGGUUGAUUAUCAAAUUAAACUCCCAAACAUACACUUUCACCUGCAUUCCAUAUUUCCAAAUCUAACUUACUCCGCUUGCUUGGAUGUCCUUAGACAAUUCGAGCUCAACAUAUCCAAACUGUAAUUUCUGAUUCUUCUCUCAGGAUUCAUCCACUCCCAAACAUGUUGCACACUUUGUACUGCCUUUCUCAGUAAAUGCCAAUGUCAUCUACCCAGUUUCUCCAGUCAGGUUUUUUUUUUCACACACACAUCAACAAAAUAAUAUUCCUAAAUCAUAAACUGGAUCAUGCUAAUCCACUCCACAAACUUGUUCAAUACUUUAAAAAAUAUCUUUUUGUGUUUUUAAAAAUACCUGCCAUUUUCACUAAAAUAUAAACUCUAUGAGGAGAGGAGUUCUAUUUCUUUUGUUGGUCCUUUGCAUGUUUAUUUACGUAUACAAAUCUGAUAAAAUGAAAUCAAUAGGUAAUCAUUUUGAAAUGAAGGCAGCAAAGUUACAGAAGAGAUACAAACAUGUCCAAGAUGAAGUUAGUGCUAGGACCUAAAAGAGUUGGAUUUAAAAAGAAUUUCAGGCGUUUUUCUCUCAACUGUUAAUUUAUUCUUCACAUUGUCAAGUAUAUAGAUAAACUGAGGGGAAAACAAUAUAGUUUCAUAUAAAACUGAUUUAUAUGAAAAUACAGACACAAGCCACAACCAGUAAAUUCAUAGAGGGGAAUUGCAAAUGAUCAACGUUAACAUAGAAAAUGUCGAAUCCUCUAGCAAUCAAAGAAAACUAAAUUGAAAUAAAAAAUACAAAUAUUUGCAAUAUUACUGCCCUUGUACUGUGAAGGGUACAGGAAUGGUGCCAAUGUUAUUCUAGGGCAAAAAUCAGUAAAUGCUUCUGGGGAGAAAUUUGACCACAUGAAUGAAAAGGUUAGUAAGCUCAAUACAAUACAGCACAGUGUGGUGGUUCUCAAAAUAGAUAAUUUUCACAAUACAAUUUUCACAGUAGUCUUUCACACUAAACCUUCUCUUUCACAACUGAGUUCAUUCAAAUGGCACUUAAUUCCAAAAUCUUCCUUAAUUUUCAACAGUUAUAUUUGCUCAUUUCUUCUUCUGAAUACCCAAGUACUAGAUGUGUCCCCUUCCUUAUUUUGCUUCCCUCAUUUCACUUUGUGGGACUGGUAUUUAUGUGCUGGUAUUUCUUCCUUUCUAAGAACAACAUGCUUCCUGAUGUCAACAUUGGUUUUGACUUUAUAUUUUACCUUUAUGCAUUUUAAAUUGUAUACUUUAUGCAACACAUAUAUAUGUUAUUAUAUUUAAUUAAUGUGUCCUAUAAGAGAUGUUAAGGUGGUUGUUUUUAUGCCUACUUACACAUGGAGAAAUGAAAGUUCAAUUAAUUAAAGUCUUUUGCCAAAAGCGACACAGUUUACUAAUUACAGGGAGAGCCAGAAUGUAAUCCCAGUCUGUUUGAUAUUCGCUCGGCUGCACUGCUGUCAUGACAACCUGUCAUACAUGGCCUUGCAGAUAUGUAUACACUCAGAUUGCUUGGCAGAUUAAUGCUCACUAGAAAUAAACCUGGAUCAUCCUGAUUGCUGA